rnacentral:lncRNA from 1 species
ACAAUGUGGCUUUUUUUUCCUUCUUUAAUGGAUUCCUUAUAUGACAAAAAGCGACAAGAAGACACCAUGUGAGUGGGAUGCACGGUCAGCAUGGCUGGCCGCUGGGCUCAGCAUCCUGGGCACAUUGUGGAAGCUCCUCUCAGUGGGCCAUGCUGGGGCGGCUCCUCCGUGUGGGUCUCCUGUUCCAGAGGCAGAGGCAGAACCUUCAAGGCUCUCACCUCCAGAGGGCAGUCUGCCAACUGUGGGAGUGCUCGACCAGGGGAUUUCUCCAUCUCCCGAGGCUGACCCACUUUCUACAGGCAAGCCUGAGCUCACUGUGGGGCCGAGACCACUGGAGUCAAGGUCGCCAGAGGGAAGUCCACUUUCACUGCCUCCUGAUGGCUCCCCACUGGAGUCAAGGCGUCCUGAAGUGUCUGUGCUGCCUGUGAAGUCACCACUGAGGUCAGGUGCCCCUGAUGUGUCCCCUGAGCUGGGCAGCUCAGUCCCGCUUGGCACUGCAAGUGAAGGUGUGUAUGGCUCUUCUGAUGU